GACGAACGCUGGCGGCGUGCUUAACACAUGCAAGUCGAGCGAGCAGAUUCCCUUCGGGGAUGAAGCUAGCGGCGGACGGGUGAGUAACACGUGGGCAACCUGCCUCAUAGAGGGGGAUAGCCUUCCGAAAGGAAGAUUAAUACCGCAUAACAUCAGAUUAUCGCAUGGUAGACUGAUCAAAGGAGCAAUCCGCUAUAAGAUGGGCCCGCGUCGCAUUAGCUAGUUGGUGAGGUAACGGCUCACCAAGGCGACGAUGCGUAGCCGACCUGAGAGGGUGAUCGGCCACAUUGGGACUGAGACACGGCCCAGACUCCUACGGGAGGCAGCAGUGGGGAAUAUUGCACAAUGGGGGAAACCCUGAUGCAGCAACGCCGCGUGAGUGAUGAAGGCCUUCGGGUUGUAAAGCUCUUUGAUCAGGGACGAUAAUGACGGUACCCGGAGAAGAAGCCCCGGCUAACUUCGUGCCAGCCGCCGCCGUAAUAC
rnacentral:rRNA from 1 species